rnacentral:rRNA from 1 species
AGUGAACGCUGGCGGUAGGCCUAACACAUGCAAGUCGAACGGCAGCACAGUAAGAGCUUGCUCUUACGGGUGGCGAGUGGCGGACGGGUGAGGAAUACAUCGGAAUCUACUUUUUCGUGGGGGAUAGCGUAGGGAAACUUACGCUAAUACCGCAUACGACCUACGGGUGAAAGCAGGGGAUCUUCGGACCUUGCGCGAUUGAAUGAGCCGAUGUCGGAUUAGCUAGUUGGCGGGGUAAAGGCCCACCAAGGCGACGAUCCGUAGCUGGUCUGAGAGGAUGAUCAGCCACACUGGAACUGGGACACGGUCCAGACUCCUACGGGAGGCACCAGUGGGGAAUAUUGGACAAUGGGCGCAAGCCUGAUCCAGCCAUACCGCGUGGGUGAAGAAGGCCUUCGGGUUGUAAAGCCCUUUUGUUGGGAAAGAAAAGCAGCAGGUUAAUACCCCGCUGUUCUGACGGUACCCAAAGAAUAAGCACCGGCUAACUUCGCG